GACGUAGGAUGCAAGCGUUGUCCGGAUUUAUUGGGCGUAAAGAGUUCGUAGGCGGUUCGUUAAGUCUGAUGUUAAAGACUGGGGCUCAACCCCGGGAGUGCAUUGGAUACUGGCGGACUGGAGUGUGGUAGAGGCUAGUGGAAUUCCCAGUGUAGCGGUGAAAUGCGUAGAUAUUGGGAAGAACACCAGUGGCGUAGGCGACUAGCUGGGCCAUAACUGACGCUGAGGAACGAAAGCCAGGGGGAGCGAAUGGG
rnacentral:rRNA from 1 species